CAGCAUGUGCUUCAGCAGGCAAAACAAUACUUAAAAUAAUUUGAAGGGUGCACUCUAUUAAAAGUUGCACUUCAGCUCUGUUUCCAGCAUACAUUAAAAGCAAAAACAAAAUCAAGGAAAGAUUUAAAGCUGUUUUUCUGCAAUUGUGGCCAUUACUCUAGCAAUUUGCUAGAUACAGCAAAUAUUGAAAAAUAUCUGUUAUUAUUCCUCUCUACCCUGAAGUGCAAUCUUCCAAACUUGAUCCAGCUUGCAAUAGAAACAUCUCUUUCGAAAGGGAGUGCUAACGCAGAAAAGUAAGCACCCAAGGCCAACUUCCAUAAGAUUGGCAUAAGAUGACUACAAAAAGCAAGCUGCUCCACAAGGAGACAUGAUGAGUUACCAAGAGACUGGCAAAAUUUAGCCCAUUUGCAUCUGGACCUGGGUGCUUCUUCCAGGAGAAAUAUCAUCAGGAUCUCAUGUACAUCCUACCGUCUCGUUACCAGAGAAUUUGCUUCAGAUCCCAACCCAGCAGCAGAAUCACACUCCAGCUCCCUCGAUUUUAUUAGAUGAAAUUAAACGACUCCAUAGAUCCAAAGGAGGCCUCCAAACGUGAUCCAAGUAUAAAGCUGUACUGUGUAUGAAACUACAGUGCCAGAGGAAUGAGGAAGUCCAAAAGUGCCUAUCAUUUCUCAUGUGUGAGAGAGAGAGACCACGCAAGCAUCGAGACAAGCCAGAUCAUCCUGUGCAGGAAGGGACCCGUUAUCUUCUAUACACAAUGCGGUUAACAUAACUUCUGAAAAAUGCCUCGUCUAAAGAUCUACAAAAUAACAGCGCACCUGGGAGAGAGACAAGGACAGAGAGACAUGAUGGAGAGUGUGUAGCUAAAAAUUAGUGCAAAUGGCUAAAAGUUGCUGCAAAUGUAAAUCGUGUUGCUGAUAUAGGUUUUCUAGGUUGUUAGUUUCUAAGAUAAAGCAAAGCACUCCAGGAAGAGUAUACACGGAUUAUUUUUUAGGCAGUCUUGGGGCAGGCCAGAAACAAACAAACAGAAAGAUACCCAUCAUAAAAUGCACGUUCAGAUCAACUGGAUUAUUUAUGGCAUCACAUUACUUCUGGUGAAUUGUUUUGUCACAAUUUAUGAAUAAAAAAACUAAUACUAAUAAUAAAUCA